rnacentral:rRNA from 1 species
UACGUAGGGUGCGAGCGUUGUCCGGAAUUAUUGGGCGUAAAGAGCUCGUAGGCGGCUUGUCGCGUCGGCUGUGAAAACCUGGGGCUCAACUCCGGGCCUGCAGCCGAUACGGGCAAGCUAGAAUUCGGUAGGGGAGACUGGAAUUCCUGGUGUACGCGGUGAAUGCGCAGAUAUCAGGAGGAACACCGGUGGCGAAGGCGGGUCUCUGGGCCGAUAUUGACGCUGAGGAGCGAAAGCGUGGGGAGCGAACAGG